rnacentral:rRNA from 1 species
AAUAGAUACCCGGGUAGUCCACGCCGUAAACGUUGGGCGCUAGAUGUGGGGACCAUUCCACGGUUUCCGUGUCGCAGCUAACGCAUUAAGCGCCCCGCCUGGGGAGUACGGCCGCAAGGCUAAAACUCAAAGGAAUUGACGGGGGCCCGCACAAGCGGCGGAGCAUGCGGAUUAAUUCGAUGCAACGCGAAGAACCUUACCAAGGCUUGACAUACACGAGAACGCCCUAGAAAUAGGGAACUCUUUGGACACUCGUGAACAGGUGGUGCAUGGUUGUCGUCAGCUCGUGUCGUGAGAUGUUGGGUUAAGUCCCGCAACGAGCGCAACCCUCGUUCUAUGUUGCCAGCGCGUUAUGGCGGGAACUCAUAGGAGACUGCCGGGGUCAACUCGGAGGAAGGUGGGGAUGACGUCAAAUCAUCAUGCCCCUUAUGUCUUGGGCUUCACGCAUGCUACAAUGGCCGGUACAAAGGGCUGCAAUACCGUAAGGUGGAGCGAAUCCCAAAAAGCCGGUCUCAGUUCGGAUUGAGGU